GGUAAGUCAAGUUAGACGUCACACAUUGGUCUGAUGCUUGCUUUUGCUACUCAGGAAAGAAAAAUGGCAGGUUCUCAUCAAAAUGCAAGAAUAAUAUGUGGAAACUCACCAGUUGCUGCCUUAUGCCUGAAGCUUCUAUCAACUUGCCCAGCACUACCACGCUCAUCGUGCUGUUAUAAGAUAUGCACAGGCAAGUCUAACAUGGUUAUAUACAUGGAUCUACUUGGAAGUCAACGGGCUGAACAAGAAUCCCACAACAUCAGCCACAAUAUAAGAAAAAAAAGUACAUUAACUUAAAUCAAUGCACUUGUUCGUGGAAAAUCUAUUCUCG
rnacentral:misc_RNA from 1 species